UAAAUAAAAAAAAAAAAAAUCAGCUCCAUUAUACUGUGAGAGAUGCUCUCUUACUUUUUAUAGAGAAGGACAAAUGGAGAGAUCAAAAUGUUCAUUUGGAGAUUCUAUAUCUACAAAACUUCAAACCCUAUCCUCCUCAUUGACUACUACAAUACCCUCAAGUUAAAGCUUCAGUAGUCCAUUGUUCUAUUUAUGUUCUCAAACUAUGAGAUUUCUGUGCACAAAUGAUUCCCAAAAAGUAACGGUUGUCUAAGAAUUUCGGCUCUUCUAUUUCUGUUAGAAAAUAACAUCAAAUGGACUACCUAAAUACAUAAUCAAUCUCCACCUUCUGUUCAGAUUUACCUUUUCUUUCAAAAAAUUAAUAAUACACAAAAUAAGUCUAGGAAAUGAGAUCUACUAUGAAAACCCACAACUGUAUCACAUUCAAGCGGACAAAAAUUCCACUUCUAACAAUUAAAAAGGAAGAAAAAAAGGUAUAUUCCACAUAUAAAACACUCAAAACAAAACACCCCAGAUUACAAAAUAAGCAUAACACUCAAGAACACGCAUCAUCCUUUAGACAAAAUCAUAGUCACACAUAUGCUUGCAAGCAUAAAACAGCCCAAAUCAGAGCAAAACGAAUAAAUGAACCAUAA
rnacentral:misc_RNA from 1 species